UACGGGGGAUGCAAGCGUUAUCCGGGUUUAUUGGGUUUAAAGGGUGCGUAGGCUGUGAGGUAAGUCAGCGGUGAAAUGCCCCCGCUCAACGGGGUGAAGUGCCAUUGAUACUGCCUUGCUGGAAUGCGGAUGCCGUGGGAGGAAUGUGUGGUGUAGCGGUGAAAUGCAUAGAUAUCACACAGAACACCGAUUGCGAAGGCAUCUCACGAAUCCGCUAUUGACGCUGAUGCACGAAAGCGUGGGUAUCAAACAGG
rnacentral:rRNA from 1 species